CUUUGUCGCCACUAUAUGUUACUUUAAAAUAUAAAAACAAAUAAAAGAACAAGCCCUAAAAUAAUUAAAACAAAAGAGAAGCAUAGCCGUAUCUCUGUAGAAGAACAAAAUCUUAUUUCAUAUCUCUCUUGAGCAUUUUCCAUUCUCUACGCAAAUGUCUGCAAUUUAUCCGUGCAAAUCACAAAAUAUGAACCAUAUGUUAGAGAUCCAAAAGCCCUAUCCGAAAUUGUGACUUUUUCAGGUUCCACCUCCAAUUUCUCAGACCCAUUUGAAAAUCUACAGGAGCAAUGUCUUGUUUGAAGCCCUUAUCGGCAGUGAGGAGUCAGCGAAAUUUUGCUGUAAUGGCAAACCAAAGUACCAUCCUUCCAUGUGUAGAUUUUGCCCUCAUCUUUGGAUUGCUUGCCUCUCACAGCAAUCAUUGCCACUAUGAUGGCUUCUAUUCUUUUUGAAAACACGAAGUAACGGAGGACAAGUCUUCUCAUGAUCGACUGGAUUGAGGCGGGGAGAAAAUCUAGUGGGAGGUGGACCAAGUGGGCUUCUAGGUGGAGGAGGAGGGACAAUAUUCUUAAACGAUGACGUCCACCAAGGAAGAGAUUGAAGGCAGACAGUGAAUAUUUUGUGUUUUUGGUCAUAUGUAUAUACUUGCAAAUACAAUGAAGUAUAGUGUAGUAUGUAGUUGAUAAUUUUUUAGUAAUGGAAGCAUUUAUAAUAUUCCGCUUGAGGAA